GAUGAACGCUGGCGGCGUGCCUAAUACAUGCAAGUCGAACUUAACUAGGAAUAGUGGAGUGGCGAACGGGUGAGUAAGACAUAGGUAACCUAGCUUUGACAGGGGGAUAACUACUGGAAACGGUAGAUAAUACCGCAUGGGUAAUAAAGAAGCAUUUCUUUAUUAUGAAAGGUGCUUUCGGGCAUCGGUGAGAGAUGGGCCUAUGACGCAUUAGCUAGUUGGAGAGGUAAAGGCUCACCAAGGCGACGAUGCGUAGCCGGACUGAGAGGUUGAACGGCCACACUGGGACUGAGACACGGCCCAGACUCCUACGGGAGGCAGCAGUAGGGAAUUUUCGGCAAUGGGGGGAACCCUGACCGAGCAACGCCGCGUGAAGGAAGAAGGCAUUCGUGUCGUAAACUUCUGUGAUAGAGGAAGAAAAGGAUAUGUAGGAAAUGACAUAUGAGUGACGGUACUCUAAGAGGAAGCCACGGCUAACUACGUGCCAGCAGCCGC
rnacentral:rRNA from 1 species